CAAACCCCUGUCGCUGGUUGCUUAUGGGUGUUCCUGGCUUGUGGUUACUGGGUUAUGGAACUAAAACAAGUAGGCUAGCGUUAGUAAGCUCUGGGAAAGCUGGUUAUUAGCUAGUUAUUGCUAUGUAUUAAAGUUUAGGCUAAAAAAAAGCUUUGUUUCAGCAACGUGCGUGAAGGCAGCGUGCCGUGAAGGUGAGGAGUUUAUAAACACGCACACUCACCUGCUGUGAGUUCUCUGGACAAUGACAUGCUCUAUUUACUCAUGGGCUCAAUCGGACAUUACACAGAUUUUGUUACGUAACAGCGUAAAGUCCAUUCAAUGUCUGGUCCAGUUGAUUUGGACAUUGGGCAUUCUCACAUACAGUUUCUCAGGGUAAUGUCUAGAUAAGUCCAGGGUUGCAGUGUAUGUCUGAAAACGGCUAAAGAAGUGUUCAUUUCAAAACAAUACUACAACUGAAACGAGCUGACACACUGACUGAGAAAUGUUGUGGUCGGGAAAACCAUUGUCGUACUACUCCGAUGUCAGUACUCUACCGUCUGCAGUCAGAGGAACGAUGAUCAUUGAUAGUGAUGGCCUCCCAUCUCUACAAAUGGGAAAUGAGAAUUCUGAAGGACUGUGUCAUAGACGUGACAUUGUACACUAGUGGUACCCAAACUCUCCGGAUAACUUGAAUGUUGUAGCAAUCAAUAACUACUGGUUGGUGGUGCAAAUAAGCUAAACAAAGAUACAGUAAUAAAGUAUGAUAAGACAUCACAAGCUACACUAAUGGAAUGAAAAUGCUCCUGGUCUCCUAACUGAGAAGGUACACAGCAGCCGUCGGGUGUCCAGUGUUACCAUUGAGCAUCAGCCAUCGAUAGAACGCUCGCUUUGAAGUGAACUGAACCUGCUACACCACCCCCGCACUGCGUCAGACGGCAGCGUCUAGAGAGCAUCCAGAUGCAUCUUGAUUCUUGAACCAAUUUCUUGAUGGCUGAGGCUGAGAUCAGCAAUUUUGUGAAAGAAUGGAAAGAAACCACCUAUAGCCUGUCCAAUCAAUCUAUUGACACUGUUUUUUGUCUUGGAUGUUCAUGAUAACCCGCUAUCAACUUCAAAUCAAUAGAUUUUUUUUAAGUAUAAUUGUAAUAUCAGAGAAUAUCAGAGUGUUUAUUUAUUUUUUGACCUACAACAGCCCUUAUUCGUCGUCAGCAAACAUACAAAAGACAUCAGAUGGUGGAUUAUGUAGAAUCUGUUCAAUCCAGUCUGUGUAUUUGAACAUGAAUUAUUGCCUCAAUGUUUCCCAAUUUUAAAACCUUUUACCAUAAGGUUCUAGGGGCUUCCAUAGACUCCAGUGAAAGAAGAAGAAAAAGACGAUGUGUGAUAAUAAGAUAAGGUAGAAACACGAUGGGUGAUAAUAAGAUAAGGUAGAAACACGAUGUGUGAUAAUAAGAUAAGGUAGAAACACGAUGGGUGAUAAUAAGAUAAGGUAGAAACACGAUGUGUGAUAAUAAGAUAAGGUAGAAACACGAUGUGUGAUAAUAAGAUAAGGUAGAAACACGAUGGGUGAUAAUAAGAUAAGGUAGAAACACGAUGGGUGAUAAUAAGAUAAGGUAGAAACACGAUGUGUGAUAAUAAGAUAAGGUAGAAACACGAUGGGUGAUAAUAAGAUAAGGUAGAAACACGAUGGGUGAUAAUAAGAUAAGGUAGAAACACGAUGUGUGAUAAGAUAAGGUAGAAACACGAUGGGUGAUAAUAAGAUAAGGUAGAAACACGAUGGGUGAUAAUAAGAUAAGGUAGAAACACGAUGUGUGA